UACUAUUUAGGACGUAGCGUA
rnacentral:piRNA from 1 species